rnacentral:misc_RNA from 1 species
AUUUGAUUCAAUAGGGGCUCCCCCUACAAAUUCUGCUGGCAGUGAGUCAGCGCCUCAAGUUAGCCGAGGAGUAAGUCAAAGAAGAUCUUCAGGCAACUUGUCUCCAACAGGGCCUGAUAAUAGUGUCAACUGGCUACAAAAAUCCUCCCAAUUGCAGCCUUCUUCCCCAGUGACCCAGCCACAGUUACAGCAGCAGCAGCAGUUAUCACCAUUGCAACAGACUCAGGUUCUGCAAGCAGGGAAUAGCAGUUCGUUUGCUAGACCCAAUGACUGUAGACUGGAUUGAACUGUCCUCAACAGAUAUGGAUGAUUCCUAGGUGGCUAAUUAGUCCCUGAAUGGGCAGCAUGCCUGGGAAACAGCGG